AACCUCGGGUGGUGGAAUGGAAUUCCUGCAUUCACGUGCCACUCAGCCGCGGAGUUCUCGUUCACGUUCUCCUAUUGAACCGCUGCACGAGACCGGCCGAGAAGAGGGGAACCGCUCACGCUGAUUUACUGGUAGGAGCCCAAGUCCUGGCCGACCUGUGCAAACAAUCUGCGGGAGACAGCAUCUGGGAUAACCCGGACGGAUGGAUGAGUCGGACCACAGCCAACCUGGACAUCGGAUUCCGAAUAAUAGCCAAUAACUCUACUCAUCAUCCUCCACUGAUUGAGGUCCCAGCCAUUCAACUUGACCGACACUAGUAAGGCACGUCAAAUUGAAAGUCGAUCCGCUCUGGAAAAUGUGAAUUUUCUUUUCCUGAUCCUGAAUCCGUCCAUGAAAUCGCCCAUCGUCAUGUUGGCUCGAAUCUGGAAAACAUAUACAAAGUGGCGUUGCUUGUUGACUGGCUGACAUCGUUCGAAUCUCGACACUGAUAGAUGCCCGAAGCUUUUUUGGGGACUGCCGUCCACCGGAUGCGACUGACGACGGACGCAAUGAAAGUGAAACCGAUAUCCUGAAAACGUGGAUUUACCUGGUGGGAGGCGAUUAUGGUCGAGUUCAACUACUGCACCGUUGGAUAUCCAUCGCCGAGGUAAAACAACGGGCAGCCCUGCCUUCUCUCCCGGAUCAACACGACAAUUUAGUUCCAGU